GCCGGAUCGAACUGCAAGCUGAAAAGCACAGCUAUUAAUGACACUGCCAGAGCUGCCUUUGCAUUCAGGAACUCGACAUUUAUGUUUAGGAGCCUUUUCACUUACACAGAAAUACAAUACCACAUCUACUGCUAGCAUCUCUUUUGGGACAUUACUGUGAAUUGUCAGAACAGAGGCCAAAUUAAAGGUUACUCCACCGUUAAAUCGAGAAACGCCUUUAGUAGCACAUGAACACUGUCAGAGUGGAGUUUCUGAAGCCUUUGAGCUGGAUCAGCAAUUGCUGACAACAGCACAUGCACAUCUCCAAUGCACGGAGUAUGGUAUUAACGGAGCAGCUCUGCAGUCAGAAGUUCAAACACCCAGGCUGUCCUGCUUACCUCCAUUACCAACUGAUGAGCUCUCGAAACCAACGUAAGGCCGUUAGCAUGGUUAAAGGUUUCUGAAAUAUCCUGUCCAAACGUAUAACCUGCACCUCGAGGAGAAAUGCCCCAGCCACCACGAUCAUCCGGGUCUGACCAUAACAAGUCACACAUUGGACCCUGCAACAGACACAGAAGAUGUUUCAGGAACAGAGUGCAAAAAACCAAACCCAAACAAAACCCCAGUAAACCUCCACGUGCACCACCCCUGCACAACGAGUGCAUUAAUACUGCCAAGAAGGUGACCUGAAUGAAGAAUAUUCACAGCAGCAGUUCUCACCUCCAACAUCAUUCAGUUGUACCUGUUGUGAUUCCAGGCACACUACAAUGUUUCUUUCUUUAGGCAAGAGCCUGCCCCUUCACAAAACUGCAACAGGAAGCCAGGCACUUUCAACCUGCUAAGUUGUGAAUUUCAUUUUCAGCCUGUGUACUCAAGCACGCAGUAUGUGCUGAAUCAUGGAUCCCACCAGUUCAGAAGGUUAGUUGUCAGUACCUCAUGGGGAACUUCCUGCAAGCGAUCAAGUGCUCUGAUGUGAUCCAGUGUAUCUAUCGAUGGAGACAGGCCACCGUGUAGGCAGAAAAUCUGCAACAAUGAGAUAUAAUCAAUGUAAAUGAAACUUCAUCUAUCAGUACAAUUGUAAUUGAUCAGUACAAAUAAUUAGGAUAAAAAUCAUCAAGAGCUUCCUUUAAAACUGAGAGCUGAUACAAUACAGUAUUAUCAGCUCCUCUUACAACUAGGAACGUUUAACACCACCAAAUACCAACGUACCUGGCCAUCCACCAAGGCAGUUAGAGGCAGGUAAUCAAAAAGGUCUGUGAAGUAUUUCCAAACGUUUGCAUUUCCGUAUUUUCUUAAACAUUCAUCAUAGAAACCAUA